rnacentral:rRNA from 1 species
UAUCCGGAAUUAUUGGGCGUAAAGGGCUCGUAGGCGGUUCGUCGCGUCCGGUGUGAAAGUCCAUCGCUUAACGGUGGAUCCGCGCCGGGUACGGGCGGGCUUGAGUGCGGUAGGGGAGACUGGAAUUCCCGGUGUAACGGUGGAAUGUGUAGAUAUCGGGAAGAACACCAAUGGCGAAGGCAGGUCUCUGGGCCGUUACUGACGCUGAGGAGCGAAAGCGUGGGGAGCGAACAGGAUUAGAUACCCUGGUAGUCCACGCCGUAAACGGUGGAUGCUGGAUGUGGGGCCCGUUCCACGGGUUCCGUGUCGGAACUAAGCGUUAAGCAUCCCGCCAGGGGAAUACG